rnacentral:misc_RNA from 1 species
GAUGAAGAACGUAGUGAAAUGCGAUAAGUAGUGUGAAUUGCAGAAUUCAGUGAAUCAUCGAAUCUUUGAACGCACAUUGCGCCCCCUGGUAUUCCGGGGGGCAUGCCUGUUCGAGCGUCAUUUCACCACUCAAGCCUCGCUUGGUAUUGGGCAACGCGGUCCGCCGCGUGCCUCAAAUCGACCGGCUGGGUCUUCUGUCCCCUAAGCGUUGUGGAAACUAUUCGCUAAAGGGUGUUCGGGAGGCUACGCCGUAAAACAACCCCAUUUCUAAGGUUGACCUCGGAUCAGGUAGGGAUACCCGCUGAACUUAAGCAUAUCAAUAAGCGGAGGA